AAAGGGGGUCUAAUACCGGAUAAUAUCCGGAGAUGGCAUCUUCACCGGAUCAAAUGUUUUUCGCUCAAGGAUGGGCCCGCGCUCCAUUAGCUUGUUGGUAGGGUAAAAGCCUACCAAGGCUACGAUGGAUAGCCGGCCUGAGAGGGUGAUCGGCCACACUGGGACUGAGAUACGGCCCAGACUCCUACGGGAGGCAGCAGUAGGGAAUAUUGCGCAAUGGGCGAAAGCCUGACGCAGCAACGCCGCGUGGAUGAUGAAGCUCCUUGGAGUGUAAAAUCCUGUCAGCGGGGAAGAACCGGUCUUUAUGGCCCUGACGGUACCCGCAGAGGAAGUUCCGGCUAACUCCGUGCCAGCAGCCGCGGUAAUACGGGGGGAACGAGCGUUGUUCGGAUUCACUGGGCGUAAAGGGCGUGUAUGCGGGUCUUCAAGUCGGAUGUGAAAACCGGUGGCUUAACUGCCCGGCCUGCAUUCGAUACUGUAGACCUUGAGUACGAGAGAGGAAAGUGGAAUUCCAGGUGUAGCGGUGACAUGCGUAGAUAUCUGGAAGAACACCGGUGGCGAAGGCGGCUUUCUGGCUCGAUACUGACGCUAAAGGCGCGAAAGCUAGGGGAGCAAACAGGAUUAGAUACCCUGGUAGUCCUAGCCGUAAACGUUGGGCACUAGAUGUUGGAGGUGUCGACCCCUUCAGUGCCGCAGCUAACGCAUUAAGUGCCCCGCCUGGGGAGUACGGUCGCAAGGCUGAAACUCAAAAGAAUUGACGGGGGCCCGCACAAGCGGUGGAGUAUGUGGUUCAAUUCGAGGCAACGCGAAGAACCUUACCUGGGUUUGACAUCCACUGGACAGCCUCUGAAAGGAGGUCUCCCUUCGGGGCCAGUGGACAGGUGCUGCAUGGCUGUCGUCAGCUCGUGCCGUGAGGUGUUGGGUUAAGUCCCGCAACGAGCGCAACCCUUGUCCUUAGUUGCCAUCAGGUCAUGCUGGGAACUCUAAGGAGACUGCCGGUGAUAAACCGGAGGAAGGUGGGGAUGAUGUCAAGUCAUCAUGGCCCUUACAUCCAGGGCUACACACGUACUACAAUGGCCGGUACAGAGGGCAGCAAAGCCGCGAGGUGGAGCUAAUCCC
rnacentral:rRNA from 1 species